AUUGAACGCUGGCGGCAGGCCUAACACAUGCAAGUCGAGCGGAUGAAGGGAGCUUGCUCCUGGAUUCAGCGGCGGACGGGUGAGUAAUGCCUGGGAAUCUGCCUGGUAGUGGGGGAUAACGUCCGGAAACGGGCGCUAAUACCGCAUACGUCCUGAGGGAGGAAGUGGGGGAUCUUCGGACCUCACGCUAUCAGAUGAGCCUAGGUCGGAUUAGCUAGUUGGUGGGGUAAAGGCCUACCAAGGCGACGAUCCGUAACUGGUCUGAGAGGAUGAUCAGUCACACUGGAACUGAGACACGGUCCAGACUCCUACGGGAGGCAGCAGUGGGGAAUAUUGGACAAUGGGCGAAAGCCUGAUCCAGCCAUGCCGCGUGUGUGAAGAAGGUCUUCGGAUUGUAAAGCACUUUAAGUUGGGAGGAAGGGCAGUAAGUUAAUACCUUGCUGUUUUGACGUUACCAACAGAAUAAGCACCGGCUAACUUCGUG
rnacentral:rRNA from 1 species